UAUUUUCAUCAUUCACAGAAUUCAAACAAAUUCCAUGGAUUUAAAAAGAACAUUUUCAUCAUUCCCACAUAUCAAUCAAAUUUCAUGCGUUUAACAUCAACAUUUUCAUCAUUCAUACAAUUCAAUCAAAUUUCAUAUGUUUAACAACAACAUUUUCAUUAUUCCAACAAUUCAAUCAAAUUUCAUGGGUUUAACAACAACAUUUUCAUUAUUCACACAACUCAAUCAAAUUUCAUGGGUUUAAUAACAAUAUUUUCAUCAUUCACAGAAUUCAAUCAAAUUCCAUGGAUUUAAAAGGAACAUUUUCAUCAUUCCCACAAUUCAAUCAAAUUUCAUGGGUUUAACAUCAACAUUUUCAUCAUUCACACAAUUCAAUCAAAUUUCAUAUGUUUAACAACAACAUUUUCAUUAUUCCAACAAUUCAAUCAAAUUUCAUGGGUUUAACAACAACAUUUUCAUUAUUCACACAACUCAAUCAAAUUUCAUGGGUUUAAUAGAAUAUUUUCAUCAUUCCCAUAAUUCAAUCAAAUUUCAUGGGUUUAACAACUACAUUUUCAUUAUUCAGUCUAUUCAAUCAAAUUUCUUGGGUUUAAUAAUAACAACAUUUUCAUUAUUCACACAAUUCAAUCAAAUUUCUUGGGUUUAAC
rnacentral:lncRNA from 1 species